rnacentral:rRNA from 1 species
UACGUAGGGGGCAAGCGUUGUCCGGAAUCAUUGGGCGUAAAGCGCGUGUAGGCGGCUCGGUAAGUCCGCUCUGAAAGUCCAGGGCUCAACCCUGGGAUGCGGGUGGAUACUGCCGGGCUCGAGUCCGGAAGAGGCGAGUGGAAUUCCCGGUGUAGCGGUGAAAUGCGUAGAUAUCAGGAGGAAUACCGAUGGCGAAGGCAGGUCUCUGGGCUGACACUGACGCUCAUGCACGAAAGCGUGGGGAGCGAACAGG